rnacentral:rRNA from 1 species
UACGUAGGGUGCAAGCGUUAAUCGGAAUUACUGGGCGUAAAGCGUGCGCAGGCGGUUGUGCAAGACCGAUGUGAAAUCCCCGGGCUUAACCUGGGAAUGGCAUUGGUGACUGUACGGCUAGAGUGUGUCAGAGGGGGGGUAGAAUUCCACGUGGUAGCAGUGAAAUGCGUAGAGAUGUGGAGGAAUACCGAUGGCGAAGGCAGCCCCCGAUGGGACUG